rnacentral:rRNA from 1 species
CGGUGUUCAACUGGCGUGCCCGCGGGACGUCCUGCCGGUGAGCUCAGCCCGCGAGGGCGGCUCAACUUGAAAUCCCAUCGCGGUGCUCUUCAUUGAGUGUCGAGGUGGGCCGGCACGAUUACUUUUGAACAAAUUAGAGUGCUUAAAGCAGGCUAAAAUUUUGCCUGAAUACUGUGUAUAUGGAAUAAUGGAAUAGGACCUCGGUUCUAUUUUGUUGGUUUUCGGAACCCCGAGGUAAUGAUUAAUAGGAACGGAUGGGGGCAUUCGUAUUGCGACGUUAGAGGUGAAAUUCUUGGAUCGUCGCAAGACGGACUAAAGCGAAAGCAUUUGCCAAAAACGCUUUCAUUGAUCAAGAACGAAAGUUAGAGGUUCGAAGGCGAUCAGAUACCGCCCUAGUUCUAACCAUAAACUAUGCCAGCUAGCGAUCCGCCGACGUCCCUCUGAUGACUCGGCGGGCAGCUUCCGGGAAACCAAAGCUUUUGGGUUCCGGGGGAAGUAUGGUUGCAAAGCUGAAACUUAAAGGAAUUGACGGAAGGGCACCACCAGGAGUGGAGCCUGCGGCUUAAUUUGACUCAACACGGGAAACCUCACCAGGCCCUGACACUGGAAGGAUUGACAGAUUGAGAGCUCUUUCUUGAUUCAGUGGGUGGUGGUGCAUGGCCGUUCUUAGUCGGUGGAGCGAUUUGUCAGGUUAAUUCCGAUAACGGACGAGACUCUGACCUGAUAACUAGACGCACUUGCGGCAUCUCAAAGGUCCGCCGGCGGCUGGCUUUGCGCCCGUCGUCGCGCGCGAUUUUUACUGCCGGCGUACAAUAAAUUCUUCUUAGAGGGACAAGUGG